ACAACAGCCGUAACUUCUUCCGGGUGAACACAACAGCCAUAACGACCAUUUAGAAAGCCUCCACUGUGUGUUAGGCAUCGCAGUGCAAGAGGAUAUCCUUUUAACUCUUGCCAUAGCUUGGUGAGAGUGGAUAUUGUUUUCUUAAUAAUACAGAGGAAAGGCCACGUGAGGGCACAGCAAGAAGGCAGCCGUCUGGAAGCCAAGGAGAGAGUCCUCACCAGAAACCAACAGUGAUGGCACCUUGAUGUUAGACGUCUAGCCUCCAAAACUGUGUGGAAGACUGUAGUGCAGCGUGGAAGAAGUCUGGUCACUGCUUUGAGACGUGUGGAGUCUAUUAGAAGAGGCCGCACAAGGCUGUCCCAUUAACACAGGAGAUAGGGUCUUUAAAUGGGAGCAAUCACGGCAAUACACGGAAUGGCCCCCGUGGAGAGGGAUUUCCAGCAAGUUCUUCGGCGUUACCUUUUCUGUCUUCUUCAGAUCCUGAGGUUACGGGCAAGCCUCCAGCCAGAGCUUCACACAAUGGCUGGUGACUGCUCCCAGGCCACAGUGGUGCCCUUCAUUUGCCAAAGGAUUGCCACCAACCCCUAGUUGCCCACUAAUCUUUACCCUCUGUUUCUUCCACUGUGUCCUCGGACACGCUAUCAAAC